GGUUAAGCGACUAAGCGUACACGGUGGAUGCCCUGGCAGUCAGAGGCGAUGAAGGACGUGCUAAUCUGCGAUAAGCGUCGGUAAGGUGAUAUGAACCGUUAUAACCGGCGAUUUCCGAAUGGGGAAACCCAGUGUGUUUCGACACACUAUCAUUAACUGAAUCCAUAGGUUAAUGAGGCGAACCGGGGGAACUGAAACAUCUAAGUACCCCGAGGAAAAGAAAUCAACCGAGAUUCCCCCAGUAGCGGCGAGCGAACGGGGAGCAGCCCAGAGCCUGAAUCAGUGUGUGUGUUAGUGGAAGCGUCUGGAAAGGCGCGCGAUACAGGGUGACAGCCCCGUACACAAAAAUGCACAUGCUGUGAGCUCGAUGAGUAGGGCGGGACACGUGGUAUCCUGUCUGAAUAUGGGGGGACCAUCCUCCAAGGCUAAAUACUCCUGACUGACCGAUAGUGAACCAGUACCGUGAGGGAAAGGCGAAAAGAACCCCGGCGAGGGGAGUGAAAAAGAACCUGAAACCGUGUACGUACAAGCAGUGGGAGCACGCUUAGGCGUGUGACUGCGUACCUUUUGUAUAAUGGGUCAGCGACUUAUAUUCUGUAGCAAGGUUAACCGAAUAGGGGAGCCGAAGGGAAACCGAGUCUUAACUGGGCGUUAAGUUGCAGGGUAUAGACCCGAAACCCGGUGAUCUAGCCAUGGGCAGGUUGAAGGUUGGGUAACACUAACUGGAGGACCGAACCGACUAAUGUUGAAAAAUUAGCGGAUGACUUGUGGCUGGGGGUGAAAGGCCAAUCAAACCGGGAGAUAGCUGGUUCUCCCCGAAAGCUAUUUAGGUAGCGCCUCGUGAAUUCAUCUCCGGGGGUAGAGCACUGUUUCGGCAAGGGGGUCAUCCCGACUUACCAACCCGAUGCAAACUGCGAAUACCGGAGAAUGUUAUCACGGGAGACACACGGCGGGUGCUAACGUCCGUCGUGAAGAGGGAAACAACCCAGACCGCCAGCUAAGGUCCCAAAGUCAUGGUUAAGUGGGAAACGAUGUGGGAAGGCCCAGACAGCCAGGAUGUUGGCUUAGAAGCAGCCAUCAUUUAAAGAAAGCGUAAUAGCUCACUGGUCGAGUCGGCCUGCGCGGAAGAUGUAACGGGGCUAAACCAUGCACCGAAGCUGCGGCAGCGACACUAUGUGUUGUUGGGUAGGGGAGCGUUCUGUAAGCCUGUGAAGGUGUGCUGUGAGGCAUGCUGGAGGUAUCAGAAGUGCGAAUGCUGACAUAAGUAACGAUAAAGCGGGUGAAAAGCCCGCUCGCCGGAAGACCAAGGGUUCCUGUCCAACGUUAAUCGGGGCAGGGUGAGUCGACCCCUAAGGCGAGGCCGAAAGGCGUAGUCGAUGGGAAACAGGUUAAUAUUCCUGUACUUGGUGUUACUGCGAAGGGGGGACGGAGAAGGCUAUGUUGGCCGGGCGACGGUUGUCCCGGUUUAAGCGUGUAGGCUGGUUUUCCAGGCAAAUCCGGAAAAUCAAGGCUGAGGCGUGAUGACGAGGCACUACGGUGCUGAAGCAACAAAUGCCCUGCUUCCAGGAAAAGCCUCUAAGCAUCAGGUAACAUCAAAUCGUACCCCAAACCGACACAGGUGGUCAGGUAGAGAAUACCAAGGCGCUUGAGAGAACUCGGGUGAAGGAACUAGGCAAAAUGGUGCCGUAACUUCGGGAGAAGGCACGCUGAUAUGUAGGUGAGGUCCCUCGCGGAUGGAGCUGAAAUCAGUCGAAGAUACCAGCUGGCUGCAACUGUUUAUUAAAAACACAGCACUGUGCAAACACGAAAGUGGACGUAUACGGUGUGACGCCUGCCCGGUGCCGGAAGGUUAAUUGAUGGGGUCAGCGCAAGCGAAGCUCUUGAUCGAAGCCCCGGUAAACGGCGGCCGUAACUAUAACGGUCCUAAGGUAGCGAAAUUCCUUGUCGGGUAAGUUCCGACCUGCACGAAUGGCGUAAUGAUGGCCAGGCUGUCUCCACCCGAGACUCAGUGAAAUUGAACUCGCUGUGAAGAUGCAGUGUACCCGCGGCAAGACGGAAAGACCCCGUGAACCUUUACUAUAGCUUGACACUGAACAUUGAGCCUUGAUGUGUAGGAUAGGUGGGAGGCUUGGAAGUGUGGACGCCAGUCUGCAUGGAGCCGACCUUGAAAUACCACCCUUUAAUGUUUGAUGUUCUAACGUUGACCCGUAAUCCGGGUUGCGGACAGUGUCUGGUGGGUAGUUUGACUGGGGCGGUCUCCUCCUAAAGAGUAACGGAGGAGCACGAAGGUUGGCUAAUCCUGGUCGGACAUCAGGAGGUUAGUGCAAUGGCAUAAGCCAGCUUGACUGCGAGCGUGACGGCGCGAGCAGGUGCGAAAGCAGGUCAUAGUGAUCCGGUGGUUCUGAAUGGAAGGGCCAUCGCUCAACGGAUAAAAGGUACUCCGGGGAUAACAGGCUGAUACCGCCCAAGAGUUCAUAUCGACGGCGGUGUUUGGCACCUCGAUGUCGGCUCAUCACAUCCUGGGGCUGAAGUAGGUCCCAAGGGUAUGGCUGUUCGCCAUUUAAAGUGGUACGCGAGCUGGGUUUAGAACGUCGUGAGACAGUUCGGUCCCUAUCUGCCGUGGGCGCUGGAGAACUGAGGGGGGCUGCUCCUAGUACGAGAGGACCGGAGUGGACGCAUCACUGGUGUUCGGGUUGUCAUGCCAAUGGCACUGCCCGGUAGCUAAAUGCGGAAGAGAUAAGUGCUGAAAGCAUCUAAGCACGAAACUUGCCCCGAGAUGAGUUCUCCCUGACCCUUUAAGGGUCCUGAAGGAACGUUGAAGACGACGACGUUGAUAGGCCGGGUGUGUAAGCGCAGCGAUGCGUUGAGCUAACCGGUACUAAUGAACCGUGAGGCUUAACCUU
rnacentral:rRNA from 1 species